rnacentral:rRNA from 1 species
GACGAACGCUGGCGGCGUGCUUAACACAUGCAAGUCGAACGACGUGGCGAACGGGUGAGUAAUACGUGGGUAACCUGCCCUCCUUUUUGGGAUAAGCCUUGGAAACGGGGUCUAAUACCGAAUAAAGGUGGCUGGGGUCUCGGCCUAUCCGCUUGUUGGUGGGGUGAUGGCGUGCCAAGGCGGUGACGGGUAGCCGGCCUGAGAGGGUGCCAUGCGACAUAGAGACGGAGAUACGUCCCAGGCGAGUCAGGGGUGGAGAAUCGGGGGAUAUGGCAGAAUGGGUGAUAGAGGGAUGCCGCGACGGCGCAGGAGGGAUGCAGGCUUUAGGGUUGUAAAGCUCUUGAGGUAGCGAAGGGGUAGGUGGAGAAGAAGCGCCGGCUAACUACGUGCCAGCCGCCGCGGUAAUAC